CUAAUGAGUGGUGCCAUGUCCGCACCCAGAAUCCGAACCCUGGGCCACUGAAGCGGAACGCGUGAAGUUAACCACUCGGCCACGGGGCCGGCCUGUUAGGCCUGUUUUUAUACAACCCAGAACAAAAAAUGGUUUGCAAGGAUUGCAAGAGAAGGAGGAGAAGAGGAGAGGAAUAUGCAACAGGGACUUCCCUCUGCAGUCUUCCCGGUUCUUCCCAGUAAGCUUGUCCACUCUCAAGCCUUCUUAGAACCAUUUAUAUGCUGAUGACCCCGAAGCCUGCAUCUCCAGGUCAGCUUUCUCCGUCCAGAGCGGCGAAAUUAACCCCCUGCCAUCCACGUUGACGACCCACAGGCACCUAAAAUAGAAUGUUUCCAAAAGUGAACUCCUGGUCACAACCCACCUCUUCUUUUUGUGUUCCCUUCUCAAGAAAAGCAUCCUUACCGAGUCAGAGCUCUGUGAGUCCUCUCUUCCUGCCCCCACAUCUGAACCAUCUCCCACCCAUCGAUCCUACCCUCUAAAUACCUUUUGAAACUGUCCACAUGGCCUUCCUGCCUUGCCAGGCUCAGGCCCCCUCAACUCACACCUGGAUAUAACCUGGAGAUAACAGACUGAUGCUGGCCAGUCUGGAGGGAUCUUCCUAAACGUCACCGCCACCCUGCCUGUCCACCACCCUUAGGAUAAAGUUCAAAGUCCUCUGGGCAGCAUAGGAGUCCCCACAUGCUCAAGCCCCUGGUCCCUCUCCAGGCUCAGCUCUCAUGCUCUUUUCCUUGAGCUGGAUGCUCAGCUAUCCCGAAAUAUAGCGAAAUCUUCAGUUUGCUAAAUGUGUGUGGCUCCUCUUCAACCUCGGGCCUUUGCCUCUGGCAUUUCCUCUUCUUGAACAUUCCAUACCCAACUGAGUAACUCCCACUCGACCUACAGGACUCUAUAGGGCCACUGGCUUCUGUGGAGCCACUUCAGUAACUUGCCGGGAGCCCAUCCGUUGGCCCUCACCCACCCGUGUGGUCCAACAAGUUAAACAUUCUUUAACAAAAUAGAAAAAGAAGUCAAUUUAUGGGACACAUGAAUAAGAAGAAAAUGAAAACCGCCCCCUUAUCUCUCAGGCCCCAUUUCCCCACGCCUGGCCCUGAGCAGAAGGUUUUAACGGAUCCAACCAUGUUUUUCCUUCAGGGUGGGUGUGGCUUCCAUUGGACGACAGUUCCACUUAGCUACCCGCCCCCGACCCUGGGGGAGAGCUCGAGAAAUGGGUUUGGGUCUUAAAAAGCCAUCUUAAGCAGAUGGCAGUAAAUUCAACCCCAUGGCCCCAUAUACAACCCUGGCUAACCCUCCCCCACCCCUGACAAUCUCCUUCUGUUAGAACCUGACACUCUCUCGCUGGUGUUCUCUCCAAGCCAGGGUCUUAACCACUGUGUCAUCAUUUCUCACUCCUGUCCCCAAAGGAGACACCAGUGCACAGUGAUUAUAUCUCAGGCUCUGGACUCAGACAGACACAGGGUCAAGUUUCAGCUCUGCCACUUACUAUAUGACCUUGAGCAAGCUGCAUAAGGUGAGUGCCAAAUGGCCUUAUUGAGAGACAUAAAUGAGAUAACGGGUGUGCCGCACUUAGCACAGAAUCCGGUACAUGGGAAGCAAACGCCAGCCAUUAUUAUCACCGUGAACUUCUUAAGUUUUUAUUUGAAAAAUUAUCACUACGGUAAAAUUGACCUUUUUGGUGUACAAUUCUUUGAAUCUUAGCGCAUGUAUAGAUGCAUGUAACUGUCACCAUAAUCAGAAUACACAACAGUUCCAUUAUCCCCCCAAAACUCCCCCCUGCUGUCCCUUUCUCUUUCUCCACUCAUAACCCCUGACAACCAUGACUCUCUUCUCCUUCCCUGGAGUUUUAUCCUCAAAAAUAUCGUCUGAAUGAAAUCUUACAGUAUAGGACGUUUUGAGACUGGUUUCCUUCACUCGGCGUGAUGCCUCUGCGAUUCUUCAAGUUGUUGCUUGUAUCAAUCUCUGCUUCCUUUUUAUUGCCCAGGAAUGUGCACAUGCUGAAAACUGCUUUCCUUUUUUUCAUCCCAACCAACAUUCCAACUCAGAUAAACACGAACAGACUUUACAAGGUCUUGGCCUAGAAGUCACUCUCCCUGGGGAAGCUGGUGGCCCCCACAUUUCAUCAGGCACUCUUCCUAUCCACCCCUGAUAAGCUCUCUUGAAAAGAAAGGUUCUGAGUCCAAUUGUAUGGUUUGAAGGAGAGAAAAACCUUUGGUCCCCUGAGUGGUAGCAAAUGGAAGACACCAAAGUGCUGACAGAUGGUGUCUGGGCAACAUCACUCUGAGCCUGGAUCCCCCUGUGCUCCAUCCACGACCUACAAUUGGCAGCCAGCUGGCCAGGCAGAGUCGGGCAGCCAGUUCUUCCAUUCCAGCCACGUACGAAUCAUGGGGCAGAAGAGGCCGGCGCUCAUGGGUGGGAAGAAGAAUUUCAGAGAGUGAGGGGGCAUUGAGCAGGAGAGAGAAGGCAUUUGUGGCCCUGAAUAACUUCUUUCUUUGCGCUCUUUUCUUCCUCCAGAUUGGUUCGGAGGCACAGCCCAGCUGCUGCCUUGGCUUUUGCUCAAAUUAUCAUCAACGGACAUGUCCUUUCUUUGCACUGUUUGAGACAGAUACGACACUGGCCUCCAAAUUGUUCAGGGAACAUCUUUUGUGCUUUUUGUCUGUCCUUCUGUUCAUUCCGGGGUGUCCUAGGGCUGGGUCCUAGGACAACUGCUCACUUGAGAGAGAGAGCGGGACUGACCCUAUAUGCUUUCUAAGUGCAAUGUCCGUGACCAGGCCUCAGGGUCUUUCCAACGCCUCCCAGACCCUCAGGGGACACGCUGAGGCAGUGGCACUGACACGUGGCCAACUUCUGUUGUCUGCUGGGGUGCUUGUGAGCUUUGGCUCAGGGAAAAUAAGCUUGUUCUGGGUUGCAGGGCAAAGCUGGCUGUGGGGGAGGGCUCUGGCCAGCUGGUCUGCGUGUCCUGGCUGGUGCUUACAUCAAGCUUUCAUUUCCUCUGGAAACCCCACGCACUUGACCUCUGAGCCUACUGCAAUAUGUGUGUAUCCUAAUUUCCCUGGAGGCUUUGGUUCCAGCAUUUUCCGAGCAGUGGGUCAACUUCAGUAAGAGCACACACAAAGUUAGAGCUUUCGGCCAGGGAGAGCAAAGUUUACAAUUCUGACAAGGCUAACACGCAGAAACACAGAACACUGAGCCCAGGUGAGUGAGUUAGAAAAUACAGGCCCUCAUCCAGACUUGGCAACGUGGGAGAGUUGAGUGGCAUCAUGGGUUCUAAUCCCAGGUCUGCCUAUAGCCUGAAGACCUUGGCAGACCCUGGGCUGUGGCUUCCUGAGCUUAGGGACCUCUGAGUUCUGUUGUGUCACUUCCUAGAUGCCCAGCUCUGUGCGAGCCUGUUAGAGACACAGAGGAAAAGAGGGGCGCCCUGCCGUGGGCAUGUGGAGACAAGACCCACACAGCAGAUGCGAUGCAAGGGUGGACUAAGGAAGCCAUGACUGGGGUGAGUAAACACUGUAGGACUCAAAGGGUGCAAGUAGGCAUUUGAGGCGGACUUUCAGAGGAGUAGGAAGGGGGCCUUGGAGGCAGGGGAGAUGGCGGAGGCAAAGGCACCUUGGGGGAGGGGUGUGGUUCAUGCUGGGGCCGUAGGAGACACUACAGAUGUCCCACCCAGAUCCCCGUCACCAGCAGGCGCACCGUUCCCCAGCAGCUGUAAAUGUUCAUUGCUUCCAGCCCACAGCUAUACACUUCUCUGGAGCAUUGCCUUUGGCUGACAUGAGUCACCUGGUCAUUACACCCCCCAGGGAGUGACCUGCAGCCAAUGACUGUGUGACACGGGCUUACAAACGCCCAUCCCCUUGUGUCAAGGUGGAACAGCUCUGUGAUGCUAUUCACACUCCAGAGCUCCCAUGAGAUCAGGCUGAGGUCAGACUUGAGCUGAAAACAGCUCUGUCGGGUUUCUUCACCUGCCCUAUCCUGUUUUCAUCCUGAGAGUUGUCCCUCAGUAUAUCAUUUGCCCACAAAAAAACUCUAUCUCAGAUUCUGCCUCAGAGGAACCCUACCCAACUAGGGCCAGCAUAAGGCAGAGUUAAGAGGACCUUGGAUGCUAGAACUUGGCGUUGUGGGCAGACCAGACAGCAGGAAACCUGGCUCCUUCAACCUGUUCCGAUCUGUGUUGCUUACUUUUCAACUUCAGCAAGUCAAAGGGGCCCACUCCCCUUUUUCCAGCAUGGGGCUUCUGGGUUCUAGCUCCACUCAGAAGAAUUCCCAAUGGAUUGGCUCAUGGGGCUGGUGGUGUUUGGAUUCAGGUGAAGAACCGUGGCAGGUGUGAAUCCUGCUGCCAGAAACUCCUCUGUUGGGGGAUGGUCCGUCUGUCUAAUCCCAGCCUAAGGGGGCGUGUCGGCCUCCUUGUUGGUGAAGGCGCUUAAAGGGACAGAGAUGGUGGGAUGGCUCUUUCCUCAUGUGAGCAGCCCCUCAAGAGGCAUAUGAAGAGGAAGGGCUGACGGGAAGGAAAGGCCAUCUCCCCCUUGCACAUCCGCCUCUCUCUCUAAGCCAUCUUCCUCCUCUCUCCAUCUGAUCCAAGUAUCACCCACCAACUCGACAGAUACUGACUGAAUAUCCACCACGGGCCAGGCCCUGUUCGAGACACUGGGACAUGGCAUCAUCACCAUGGUGAAGCCCCGCUCUCAGAGAGUUCACAUUCUGGUCAGUAUAAGAAAAAGAAAGAAAGAGAAGUAAGUCUAUCGAACAGAAAUAGUAUUAAAUACAGUCAUGCGGCGCAUAACGACUUUUCGGUCAAUGACGGACCACACACACAAUGGUGGUCCAUAAGAUUAGUACCGUCCAGCCUAGGUGUGUAGCGGACUAGGCCAUCUAGGUUUGUGUAAGUACACUCUAGGAUGUUCUCACAAUGACGAAAUUGCCCAACAACCCGUUUCUUAGAACAUGUCCCUCUUAAGCGAAGUGUAAGUGUACUAUCAAAAAAAAAAGUAAUGGCUUAGAGAGAAACUGAGUCUUAGGGGGAUGGGCCACUUUGGGAAGGGGUCAGGGAAGGCUGGCACUUGAGCUGAGCUGUCUGUGCUGAGAAGAGGCCAUUCCAGCAAAGAUUUGAGGGGAGAACAUCCAGGCAGAGGGAAGAGCAAAUACACAAGUCCUGUAGCGUGUUAAACAUGCCGAACCAGGAGCACCAGAGAGAUCUCUGGGGAAUCCUGUGGGACUGUCUUCCCCUUCCUCUGGUUUCUUGUAGGGAUGACAACAGAAGCAGGAAAUCGUAUAUAUCUGCAUAGUUUAUACACAUUUACUUUGAGUGUCAUUUUGACAGAGCAGAGUUCUGUGCCGGGGUAGCAUCUCCUCUUCUACACCAUAAGUGAGGUUUUCAAGAGUCACCCAAAGCUUUCAGAAGGACAGAGAGCAGCCUUGUGUUCUCUUCUUAGUGCCUCAUGGAGCCAGAUGUGCUGGUCACUCUCUGUACCGACUGCUGACUGCCACGUGGCGGGGAUGGGCAUGAUGAAACGUCCUGUCUGGGUGCAAAGGCUUCAACUUACUUCUCUCUGGACACAGAAACAUAUUGAAAACUUACAAAUCAAAACAGUUCUUUCAGCAAGCCGCCACAGGCAACACGAAGAGAGGCCCAGCCCCACAUCAGAGAGAUGCUUGUCCCUCUGUCCUCUGCACCAGCGCCACUCUGGCACGCAGGAGAGGAAGGCUGGUGAGGGACCAGGAUGCGAGAGGAGGCUGGAAGGCAUGCCACGUGGGACAAAGGCAAAGGAAGCUGAGGCUCAGCCUGAAGAGGAUGGACAGAGUGGCAUUCGGCGGGCGACACGACGGGGGGCACUCAGAUGGCGUGGGUGUGACUCUCCUGGGUUCGGGGGAUGGGCAGGGUCACUUCACUCUAAGAAGGAACAGCCCAGUUCUGCUGCAGCCCACCAGAGGACUGGGCUACCUCGGGUGGCAAGACCCCCACCCAACCCAUGCUGAGCUCCUGAUUCUCCUGGUCCAAGGGGGCAGUCCAGGAGAGCCGGCGAGGGUCACCAGCCUGGUCCUGGAUCUGGACGAGGCCUGCACGCGGGACAGGAUGGACUAGAAGCAGACAACCUGGCCAAAUCCUCCCUUUGCACAGACCUGAGGGGUAGGACAUGCUCCCUUAGGACCUCUGGUUUCCCAUGAAAGUAAAUCUCAACAAGAGGCGGGUGUAGGCAGCAGGGUCCAUCCCUGCCACUGUUCUUUACCUGAACCAAAACAUCUCCAACAUUGAGAAUCCUGGGCACCAUGAUUCCUAGGGUCACUUUAACUCUAAACAAUGUCUGAUUCUACGAAACUGGGGCUUCAAGGUCAUCUUGGAGUGCUAAGGGUGGUACAGGGAUCAGAGAUGCUAAGCUAUGGUUGGCGGUUUGGGGGUGGGGGCAGUGGUUGCAAAAUCUAGGGUGUAUGAAUCAUCAUAAUAUUGGGGGGCACUUGACUAUAAGUCAAAUUACACAGAGUCUACACACCCGUGGAUCCUCACAGUGAUACCGUGAAGUGACUGGAGCAAGUAUGACAUCAUGCAGGUGCCCAGAAAGGGGAUAAGAUGGGCCUCCACUUCCUGUGGCCCCACCCUGCUCUGGACCUUCAGGGCCUUUUAGGUGCCGGAGCGAAGUGGGAGCUGCGACCCUCCCAAAGGACUCCCUCCACACCCACAGCCCACGCUGGAGGCAGACCAAUUCAUUGAAAACCAAAUCCCCAGAAAUCAAUUUACAGAUUGAUUUGCAAAUUGAAUUGACUUAUUACCCAUCCCCCCACCCAUCCACUCAUCUUAUCAACAUUUACAUAACUUCCACUUCAUGGCAAAAUCAAUUCCACAAAUUCCCCCUAGAGCUCCCAAACUGAAAAUGAUCUCUCCCCCUCUGAAUUUCAAGCCCGUCUUUCAGAAAGUAUUUUUUGUUGCUUUGCUUGUCUGUUUAAAAAAUGAUACCUUGAUGUAUCAUUAAAGGUGUGUCCCAGCCAUUCCUCUACUUCCGUCCUCACCUCCUCCUCGAACUUGCAACCAGUAGAGUUUCGACAAGAGACACUGAUUUACUAAAGCAGAUGCGUUGACCACUGCUCAGAAAACAAGACCCAUGCCUCUUUUUAUGAUGCUUUUCGCUCUCAGAGCUUCUGCUCUCAUCUCCGCCAAAAGAAGUAAGAACACCGUAUCGACUCUUUUCCUCAACAGCAUAGAGUAUGGUAUUCGCUAUGAAGCAGAAGUUAAGUAAAUAUUGAUAAGAUGAGUGGGUGGGUGAUAAAUGGUUUUCUGUCUUUUGCAUGAAGAAAUGGCCCUUCAAGGGCCACCAUUAGCCAAGCAUGCGAUUCUUCCUCAGCCCUAGCACGGGUUGUGAGCAUAGAAUGUUUGCUCCCACCCAUCCUUCCUCAGGGACAGAAUAGGGGUGCCCAGCUGCCAGAGAGCCCUGUCUCGUGAAGGUGACGCUCUAGAAACCCCUUUUUUCCUGCAGAGUGUGGGUUAGUAUGAAUUUGGCUCCCAUAGAUCUCGUUCUCAAGAGCAUUUGCCUCCAAAGCUUGACCUCUGAGCCUGGAGCAAAGGGCUUUGUUGUCAAGUAGGAGCUUUUCCCCAAGGAUAACCUUGGCGAGGAGGGUCCUGAGCAGUGGUGACUGAAAUGAAGUGAUUUCUCUGGAGGACAGAGUACAAAAUCCAGAAUUAGCCCCCAUUGCCUAAAGAAAGCUUGUGUGAUGAUAAAGGCAGCAUCGCAAAUCAUGGAGAAAGAAUGUAUGAUUUGAUAGUUGGUGUUAGGAUAACGGGAGAGCCCUGUGGUAUUAGAGGCAAUUGGAGGCGUUUUGCUCAUACACUAGGAUACAUUCCAAAGAGAUUGGAGAUUUAAGUUUAAAAAUGAAACCAUCCAAGUACUAAAAGGAAACAGGCAAAUUCUUCUUUUUUGAAGAAGAAGAUUAGC